AGCGACUCGUUUAGGUCUUGGGUUUCUGGUCGAAUCGAUCCUCUUUUGUGAGUUCUUAUAGAGAUAUUAGGUUUAUUUGUUUCGGUAGAAAAUAAUUUGCAGCUUUUACGAUUGCAUGGUUAUAUCAAUGUUUUGAUGCCAUAUUUCUUGGAAUUCUGCUGUGUUGAAUGAGGUCUUAAGCAAGACACAGAUUUUUUUUGUGUUUUUCUCCGAACUAUGUUCUUCGCUGGUUUGAAACUUUUUUGUUGAAUUAAAUAUUUAAUUAUUAUAAUUACAAAUAAUUUGAUCUUUAAAAAUUUCGAGGUAUGAUUAUCCAUUAUUUUACAUUCAUGGGAAUUCCUACAAUAUUAAUUUGAAGUUUCAGAAAAAACUGUUUCUCUUUUAUUUGGAAGAAAAUAACAUGCCAUAUUGGAAUUCUCUCGUGGUGAAUGAUUUAUUGGUGAUUGGGUGGUGUUUACUUUUUAGACGAAGAUUUUCUGUGUUUUUCUCAAGAUUUUGUUCUUUACUGGUUUGGAACUUUUUGUUGAAUUAAAUAUAUGAUUGAUAAUCCAUAGAUACUCUCUAUCUGUUUCACACUCCACUUAUAUAUUUAAUUUCUAGCAACCUAAUUCACCAUACAAUUAGGGUUAGGACCAUACAAGUAGGGAUUUGUUGGAAAGAUACUUAUUUUGGAUGAUCUCAGAACAACACACAAAAUGCAAUGCAUGCAAAUACCUAGGAGGCACCCCCCCUAAUUUUAUCAAGUGAUUAUAUGUCUUUAAUCUUACACGAAGUCACCUUUUUUAAAUCCUUCGUUCCUAGGUUUUUGUAGGUUGUGCGUUGCUGAUUAAAUUACCUACUUAUCUGCAAAUUGACUUAUUUGCACUGGAUGAAAGUCCAUCAGUCUAUGUAUUCCGAAAUAAUCAAUAAAAGCUCAAUAUUAACACCCAAUUCUCCCUACACAGCCCAUCAAAAAAAGAGUUUUCUGAAGUUGCAAUAGAAUUUCAGAGCUGAUUUUCAUCUUAGAUUCUUAGAUUCUUGAGAUGUGGUAACUCCAGGAAACAACUAGAAAAUGCGAUUUUAAUAGACACAAGGACAAUAAAAAAGCAUAAACACCAAUCAUGAAUUGUCAACAUAGAUUCUGUUUCUUCAAAUUAGCAAGAAUUCCUCCGCAUCCCGAGAUCCUUUAUGAUUUAGAACCCUCUUUCCUCCAUUUCGCAAGAUUUUAAUUGGAUUAAAUACCAAUUGUUCUCUGCAAGUAAGUUGACUGUAUUAACUCGAUUUCUUAAAAUUUGUUUCAACAAUAGUACAUUGAACAUAUUUCGACCUUGUUUUCUAUUUUUUGUAACUUCUAGAAUAACAUAGCUGCAGCGAAUAGUAGCAUCAUAAGUCAGCUAUUGAAUUUAACUCCAUGACUAACAUCACAAUAACUUUUCCUUUACCUAGUCUUCUACUUCUAGUUCUUUGGUGUACUUUUGUCUCCAAAGAGAGAUACAUUAAGAACAUUGGCUAUAUGAGAAAAACUUGAACUCCUAAUUCUGUAAACAUUUAUCAAAUAUUUUUCAUCGAUGGACUCCCCCGGGCCCUCAUCCUCCUCCUCCCACGGGACACACAUGCACGCAGUUGCUUGCCACACAAAAUACAAUGCACAAAAAUACAUAAGAGGCACUCAAAUCCCAUCAUUGAUUAAAUCCUCGUUUGUCUAUUAGUUCUCAGUUUCUCUUCAGUGCAGGACACAGCAGUUUGGUAGCUCGCAAGGCUCAUAACCUUGAGGUCACGGUUUCAAAUCCUGUAUCGGCAAAAUUCUUUUUAUGCUUGGUUUUUGUUUUUUCGCCAGUGUGAAUGAGUUCCUUUUGCUGGUUGGUCAAUACUUUUUUGCUUGUUUGCAGUCUAUUACUUGAAGAUGGACUUGGUGAAAGUUAAAGAGCCUUUUAAAUAGCUGGACUUCUUACUUGUUUUGUUGGAAUGUAUCCUGCGAUUAGUUGAGAAUAAAAGAGAGAAUCUAAUUUGCAGUUUUAGUUUUUUGUUCUUCUUGAUUUUUGCUGGAACUAUCUUUUUGGUGCUUACAUACACUUGCUAUUUUACUUGUUUGUAGUCGCUUUUCUUCGAUCUGACCUUAAGAAUGAUUUCAAGUACGGUCUUUUGGAAGAGCUAAGAGAAUCUCUACCUGGUUGUACUGCAGGAAAUGAUCAAUCUUUUGCUCUUUAAUUGUUAUAAGCAUGGCGAGAAUGAUAUAUAGCUGUUGUUGUUAUAGAACCUUCUGCUUGAUAGUUUGUGUUAGGAUAUUGAGUGAGUGGCAUAUUUUACCCAAAACCUGAAUUGCAAUGUGUCAAAGUGCCUGGAGUUGUUUGUGAACAUAUAUUCUUUUUUGGAUAUAGCUAUUACUGUUGCUUGUAACUACAUCUUGUAGGGGUUCCAGGACAGUUCUGGAUGGUUCAAUAAUUCUAUAUACUGUUAGUAAUGAUGCAUUAGGUUUUAACUGUCAACUUUGAGCUCUCUUUAGGAUUAACUAAAGAUGCUGUUCAGGAAUGCAGUGCUUCUCCUUGGAUGAGACUGAUUGGACAUCAGUUGAUCCCUUCUGAUACGUAGAGAUCCCUCUGCUUUUGAUAUGGUGAGAUGCAGCAGCUACCUGCAACCUGCUGCAGCAACUGUUUACUUGUUACCUCUGGCUUACAUUUGUGCUAUUUUGGGAAAACCUUUGUUGAGUUGGGCCAUAUUGUAACGAUACAGGAUGUAGGAACACAUUAGAGAGGUUUAUUAUUUGACUCUUUCUCCACCUACAAGCUAUAUGUUCUUUCCUUUCCAGCUUCUUUCUAAGCAAAAUUAUUCAGUGUUGAUGGAUGUACGCAAAACCUUGGUAUCUUGUGUUUUUAUAUUACCUACCUUACACUUCACUUCCAAUUCUCUCUUCUUUUUUUUUGUAUUAUCUUCCUUACCAAUGAUUUUUAUAUCUGCUACUCGCAAAUUUAGGGUAUCAUAUAUUUACGUUUUAGCAUGUAUGAAUGAGUUUCUUUUGCUGGUUGCUCGUUCUUUUUUGCUUGUUUGCAGUCACUUGAAGAUGGACUUCGUGAACGUUACAGAACCUUUUACAUGGCUGGACUUCUUACUUGUUAUUGGACUGUACAUCUGUGAUUAGUUGAAAACAGAAGAGUAUCUCAUUCUCUGUUUUUGUUUUUAGUUCUUUGAUUUUGCAUGACCUCUCUUUUUGGUGUUUUUACAGACACUUGUUAUUUUGCUUGUUUAUAGUUGAUUUUGAGAGUGGUCUUUUGGAAGAGCUGAGAGAACCUUUUGGUUAGACUGCAGGAAAUGAUCAAUGUUUCUGUAAGUUUGUAUUCGAAUAUUGAGUCAUUGGCAUAUCUUACCCAAUACCCGAGUUUUAAUUUAUUAAAGUGCCUCGAGUUGUUUACGGACAUUUUUUGAAGAAAUGGCAGACAAAAAAUGAUAUGAUUAUGUGGAAUAUUUGCAUCCUCAAUCGCACAAUUAGGUAUCAGGUAAAUGGACUUUAGUUAAUACCUUAGUUUGACCUUUGAUCUUUGUUUGGCUCAUAAACUGUUUUGAUUCUAAACUUUUUAAGUUUUAGAUUUUUUUCAAAAGCUUGGAAAUUAUUCUUUGAUUGAUCCAGAGAGCUUGUGGCUGGCAGGCAUUCGAUUGGUCUUGGUUUGUACUAAUUUACGUUUAGAUAGUUGUGUAGUAUAUUUGGUAUUAUUUCACCAUCUUUCCAAUUUUUACUGCUGUGUUUAAUCUUCCUUCAUCAAUAUUUCUAUUUUCCAUCCGCCAUUUGUUCAGGAAAUUUGCGGAUCUUUCUUACUUGAAAUAUAGGUGAGGAUUAGAAUUCCUUUGCAAUUCAUUAUAAAUGGGUUAUUCUAUUUGUACAGAUAUAGUGGAGAGGUGCAUUAAAUCCUUUUUUAUCUUUUAGUUCUCAGUUCGUCUUUAACGCGGGGCAGAGCAGUUUGGUAGCUCGCAAGGCUCAUAACCUUGAGGUCAUGGGUUCAAAUCCGGUCUCCGAUGCAUAAUUUUUAUGCUUGGUUUUUUAAUAUUUUUUUUUUACCAUAUAUGAAUGCGUUUCUUUUGCUUGUUGCUCGUUACUUUUCUGUUUGCUUGCAGUCACUUGAAUAUGGACAUAGUGAAAGCUAAAGAACCUUUUUUGUGGCUGGACUUCUUACAUGUUCUUGGAAUGUACAUCCUGUGAUUAGUUGAAAUCAAAAGAGUAUCUAAUUCUCUGUUUUUGUUAUUUGUUCUGUCGGCUUGGAUUUUGCUUGGCCUCUCGUUUUGGUGUUUACGGACACUUGUUAUUUUGGUUGUUUUUAGUUGAUUUUGAGAGUGGUCUUUUGGAAAAGGUAAGAGAAACUUUGCCUGGUUAAACUGCAGGAAAUGAUCAAAUGUUUCUGUAAGUUUGUACUACGAUAUUGAGUCAUUGGCAUAUCUUACCCAAAACCUGAGUUGUAAUGUAUCAAAGUGCCUUGAGUUUAUGGACAUUUUUUUUGAAGAUAUGACGGACAAAAAAGGAGAAGAUCAUUGUGGAAUAUUUGCAUCCUCAAUCGCACAAUUAGGUAUCAGGUAAUAUUUAGUUCAGAGUUAGAAUUCAUUGAUUGCAUGGUUGAUAGAUGGAAUGCCUGCGUGACUUCUGGAUCUCAAUGAAUGCCAGUAAUGCUCGAUAUGUGUCAUAGUGCAGUCUGGACCUUGUGGUAGGCAGCAUUCGAUUCGUCAUGGUUUGUGCUUAUUUAGGUUUUGAAAGUUGUGUAACAGUAUAUUUGGUAUUAUUUUACCUUCUUCCCAAUUUUUACCGCCAUGUUAUUCUUCCUUCAUCUAUAUUUCUCUUUUCCACUAUUUGUUCAGAAAAUUUGAGGAUCUUUCUUGCUUGAAAUAUUAGGUGAGGAUUACUAUUCCCUUACAAUUCAUUAUAAAUGGGUUAAUCUAUUUGUGCUUAUAUUUUGUAUUAUUUCACCAUCAUCCCAAUUUUUGCCGCUGUGUUUAUUCUUCCUUCAUCUAUAUUUCUCUUUUCCACCAUUUGUUCUUAAAAUUCAUGGAUCUUUCUUACACUGAAUAUUAGGUGAGGAUUGCUAUUUGAUAUAGUGGGGGAGCAUAUUAAAUCCUUGUUUGUCAAUUAGUUCUCGGUUCUUGUCUUCAGCGUGGGGCAGAGCAGUUUGGUAGCUCACAAGGCUCCUAACCUUGACGUCAUGGGUUCAAAUCCCGUCUCCGCAGCUUUAUUUUUAUUCUUGGUUUUUUAUUUUUUAUUUAUUUUUAACGUGUGUGAAUAAGUUUGUUAUGCUGGUUUUCCGUUACUUUUUUGUUUGUUUGCAGUCACUUGAAGUUUGGCUUGGUGAAAGUUAAAAGAGUCUUUUGUGUGGCUAGACUUCUUCCUUGUCUUUGGACUGUCCAUCCUGUGAUUAGUUGAAAACAGAAAAUAGUAUCUAAUUCUUUGUUUUUGUUUUUUGUUCUUUUUUUUUUUUUUUCGCUUGACCUCUCUCUUUGGUGUUUAUAAAUGCUUGUUAUUUUGCUUUAUUUGUAGUUAAUUUUGACAGCGGUCUAUUGGAAGAGCUUAAGAGAACCUUUACCUGGUUAGACUGCAGGAAAUGAUCGAUGUUUCUGUAAGUUUGUUUUAGCAUAUUAAGUCAUUUGCAUACCUUACUCAAAACCUGAGUUGUAAUGUAUCAAAGUGCUUUGAGUUGUUUAUGGACAUUUUUUUUGAAGACAUGGCAGACAAAAAAUUGAGAUCAUAAUGGUGGAAUAUUUGCAUUCUCAAUCGCACAAUUAUGUAUCAGGUAAAUGGACUUCAGUAAAAGCCUUAGUUUGACCUUUGAUAUUGGUUUGGCUCUUAAACUAUUUUGGUCUUAAACUUAAGUUUUAGAUUUAUAUUAUUUUCGAAAGCUUGGAAGUUAUGUGUUGUUCGAUCCAGAGCUUUGAUCGAAUGAUCAACAGAUUGAAUUUGUUUCUGUUGAUAUUUUGGUCAAAGUUAGAAUGUGUUGAUUGCACGGUGGAUAGGAGGGUGAAUUCCUUUUAGACUUCUCUUAGGCUUCGGAUCAAUCGUACUAGUCAAACCUACGUAUUCGGUGCCUGUAUAAUAGUAUUGGCGUCUUUUUAUGUAGAAUCUCAUAGAAGGCCGGGAAAUGUCAUGGUGCAAUUGGUACCUUGUGGUAGGUAGAUUUCGAUUCGUCUUGGAUUGUCCUUGUAUUUGGUAUUAUUUCAUCAUCAUCCCAAUUUUUACCGCUGUGUUUAUUCUUCCUUCAUCUAUAUUUCUCUUUUCCACAAUUUGUUCUGAAAAUACAUUGAUCUUUCUUACACUGAAUAUAAGGUGAGGAUUGCUAUUCCUUUACAAUUCAUUACAAAUGGCUUCUUAUUCUAUUUGUUCAGAUAUAGUGGGGGAGCAUAUUAAAUCCUUGUUUAUCUAUUAGUUCUCAGUUCUUGUCUUCAGCGUGUGGCAGAGCUGUUUGGUAGCUCACAAGGCUCCCAACCUUGACAUCAUGGGUUCAAAUCCUGUAUCCACAGCUUUCUUUUUAUUCUUUGUGUGUUUUUUUAACAUGUGUGAAUAAGUUUGUUAUGCUGGUUCUCCGUUGCCUUUUUGCUUGUUUGCUGUCACUUGAAGAUUGGCUUGGUGAAAGUUAAAGAGCCUUUUGCGAGCUAGACUUCUUCUUUGCCUUUGGACUGUACAUCCUGUGAUUAGUUGAAAACAGAAGAUGGUAUCGAAUUCUAUGUUUGUUUUUUUUGCCUGACCUCUCUCUUUGGUGCUUACAAAUGCUUGUUAUUUUGCUUUAUUUGUAGUUGAUUUUGAGAGUGGUCUAUUGGAAGAGCUAAGAGAAUCUUUACCUGGUUAGACUGCGGGAAAUGAUCGAUGUUUCUGUAAGUUUUUUUUAGGAUAUUGAGUCAUUUGCAUAUCUUACCCAAAACCUGAGUUGUAAUGUAUCAAAGAGAGUUGAGUUGUUUAUGGACAUUUUUUUGAAGACAUGGCAGACAAAAAAUUGAGAUCAUAAUGGUGGAAUAUUUGCAUUCUCAAUCGCACAAUUAUGUAUCAGGUAAAUGGACUUCAGUAAAAACCUUAGUUUGACCUUUGAUCUUGGUGUGGCUCUUAAACUAUUUUGGUCCUAAACUUUUAAGUUUUAGAUUUAUAUUAUUUUUGAAAGCUUGGAAGUUGUGUGUUGUUCGAUCCAGAGAGCUUUGAUGGAAUGAUCAACCCGAUUGAAUUGGUUUCUGUUGAUAUUUAGGUCAAAGUCAGAAUGCGUCGAUUGCAUGGUGGAUAGGGUGAAUUCCUUUUAGACUUCUUGUAGUCUUUGAUCAAUCGUACUUGUCAAACCUACGUAUUCGGUGCCUGUAUAAUAGUAUUUGCGUGUUAAUAUGUAGAAUCUCAAAGAAGGGUUCGGGAAAUGUCAUAGUGCAAUCGGGACCUUGUGGUAGGUAGCAUUCGAUUCGUCUUGGAUUGUGCUUAUAUUUGUUUUUAUUUCAUCAUCAUCCCAACUUUUACCGCUGUGUUUAUUCUUCCUUCAUCUAUAUUUCUCUUUUCCACCAUUUGUUCUGAAAAUGCAUUGAUCUUUCUUACAUUGAAUAUUAGGUGAGGAUUGUUAUUCCUUUACAAUUCAUUACAAAUGGCUUCUUAUUCUAAUUGUUCAGAUAUAGUGGGGGAGCAUAUUAAAUCCUUGUUUGUCUAUUAGUUCUCAGUUCUUGUCUUCAGCGUGUGGCAGAGCAGUUUGGUAGCUCACAAGGCUCCUAACCUUGAUGCCAUGGGUUCAAAUCCCGUCUCCGCAGCUUUCUUUUUAUUCCUUUUAAGUUUGUUAUGCUGGUUGUCCGUUACUUUUUUGCUUGUUAACCUUUUUGCUUGUUUGCUGUCACUUGAAGAUUGGCUUGGUGAAAGUUAAAUAGCCUUUUGCCAGCUAGACUUCUUCCUUGUCUUUGGACUGUACAUCCUGUGAUUAGUUGAAAACAGAAGAUGGUAUCGAAUUCUCUGUUUUUGUUUUUUGUUCUAUUUUUUUUUUUUUUUUUUUUUUUUUCUUUUAGUUCGACUCUCUUUGGUGUUAACAAACACUAGUUGUUUUUUGCUUUAUUUGUAGUUGAUUUUGAUAGCGGUCUAUUGGAAGAGCUAAGAGAACCUUUACCUGGUUUGACUGCUGGAAAUGAUCGAUGUUUCUGUAAGUUUGUUCUAGGAUAUUGAGUCAUUUGCAUAUCUUACCCAAAACUUGAGUUGUAAUGUAUCAAAGUGCCUUGAGUUGUUUAUGGACAUUUUUUGUGAAGACAUGGCAGACAAAAAAUUGAGAUCAUGAUGGUGGAAUAUUUGCAUUCUUUGUCGCACAAUUAUGUAUCAGGUAAAUGGCCUUCAGUAAAAACCUUAGUUGACCUUCGAUCUUGGUUCGGCUCUUAAACUAUUUUGGUCCUAAACUUUAAGUUUUAGAUUUCGAUUAUUUUUGAAAGCUUGGAAGUUAUGUGUUGUUUGAUCCAGAGAGCUUUGAUUGAAUGAUCAACCGAUUGAAUUGGUUUCAGAUGAUAUUUAGGUCAAAGUCAGAAUUCGUCGAUUGCAUGGUGGAUAGGGUGAUUUCCUUGUAGACUUCUUGUAGUCUUCAAUCAUUUGAACUUGUUGGACCUACGUAUCUGGUGCCUGUAUAACAGUAGUGGCGUGUUUUUAUGUAGGAUCUCAAUGAAGGCCAGUAGUGUUCAGGAAAUGUCAUAGUGCAGUCGGGACCUUGUGGUAGGCAGAAUUCGAUUCAUCUUGAUAUAGUGGACGAGCAUAUUAAAUCCUUGUUUGUCUAUUAGUUCACAGUUCUCGUCUUCAGCGUGUGGCAGAGCAGUUUAGUAGCUCGCAAGGCUCCUAACCUUGACAUCAUGGGUUCAAAUCCUGUAUCUGCAACAUUUUAAUUUAUUCUUGGUAUUUUUUUUUUUUUAGCACAUGUGAUUUAAGUGUCUUUUGUUGGUUGUUCUUUACUUUCUUGCUUGUUUGCAGUCACUUGUGGUGGGCAGCAUUCGAUUCGUCUUGGUUUGUGCUUAUAUUUGGUAUUAUUUCACCAUCAUCCCAAUUUUUAUCGCUGUGUUUAUUCUUCCUUCAUCUAUACUUGUCUUUUCCACCAUUUGUUCUGAAAAUUCAUGGAUCUUUCUUACUUGGAAUAUUAGGAGAGGAUUACUAUUCCUUUACAAUUCAUUAGAAUUGGGUUAUUUUAUUUGUACCGAUAUAGUGGAGGGGCAUAUUAAUUCGUUAUUUGUGUUGGUUUGUGCUUAUAUUUGGUAUUAUUUCACCAUCAUCCCAAUUUUUAUCGCUGUGUUUAUUCUUCCUUCAUCUAUACUUGUCUUUUCCACCAUUUGUUCUGAAAAUUCAUGGAUCUUUCUUACUUGGAAUAUUAGGAGAGGAUUACUAUUCCUUUACAAUUCAUUAGAAUUGGGUUAUUUUAUUUGUACCGAUAUAGUGGAGGGGCAUAUUAAUUCGUUAUUUGUGUAUUUGUUCUCAGUUCCUGUCUUCAGCAUGGGUUGGUAGAUCGCAAGGCUCCUGACCUUGACGUAAUGGGUUCAAAUUCCGUCUCCGCAGCAUUAUUUUUAUUCUUGGAUAUAUUUUUUUUAACAUGUGAAUAAGUUUGUUUUGCUGGUUGCUCGUUACUUUUUUUGCUUGUUUGCAGUCACUUGAAGAUGGACUCGGUGAAAGUUAAAGAGCCUAGUGGGUGGCUGGACUUUUUUCUUGUUGUUGGACUGUAAUCCUGUAAUUAGUUGAAAACAGGAGAGAGUAUCUAAUUCUCUCUGUUUUCAUUUUUCGUUCUUGAACUUUGGUUGACGUCUCUCUUUGGUGUUUUCCAACACUUGUUAUUUUGCUUGUUUAUAGUUUAUUUUGAGAGCGGUCAUUUGGAAGAGGUUAGGGAACCCUUACCUGGUUAGACUGCAGUAAAUGAUCGAUGUUUCUGUGAGUUUGUACCCAAAACCCGAGUUGUAAUGUAUCUUAGUGCCUUGAGUUGUUUAUGGACAUUUUUUUGAAGCCAUGUAGGCAAAAAAUUGAGAAGAUCAUGGUGGAAUAUUUAAAUUCUCGAUCGCAUGAUUAGGUAUCAGGUAAAUGGACUUUAGUAAAUACCUUAGUUUGAACUUUAAUCUCGUUUAGUAAAUACAUUAGUUUUACGUUUUGAGAGUUGUGUAACAGUAUAUUUGUUAUUAUUUCACUGAAUACGUAGGUCGAUAGAUUGAAUGCCUGUGAGACUUCCAGUAUGCUUCGAUCAAUCGUACUUGUCAGACCUACGUAUUUGGUGCCUUAAUGAUAGUAUUGUGGUUGUUUUAUGUAGGAUCUCAGUGGGACCUUGUUGUUGGCAGCAUUCGAUUCGUCUUGGUUUGUGCUUAUUUAUGUUUUGAAAGUUGUGUAACAGUAUAUUUGUUAUUGUUUUACCAUCUUCCCAAUUUUUACCACUAUUGUUUAUUCUUCCUUCAUCUAUAUUUCUAUUUUCCACCAUUUGUUCUGAAAAUUCAUGGAUCUUUCUUAUUUGGAAUUUUAGGUGAGGAUUACUAUUCCUUUAUAAUUUAUUAUAAGUUGGUUAUUCUAUUUUUACCACUAUUGGUAGUUCGCAUGUCUCCUAACCCUGACGUCAUGGUUUCAAAUCCCGUCUCCGUAGCAUUAUUUUUAUUCUUGGGUUUUUAUUUUUAUUUUUUUUAACAUGUGUGAAUAAGUUUUUUUUGCUGGUUGCUCGUUACUUUUUUGCUUUUUUGUUUGUUUGCAGUUGCUUGAAGAUGGAUUUGGCGAAAGCUAAAGUGCCUUUUGUGUGGCCGGACUUUUUACUUGUUAUUGGUCUAUACAUAUUGUGAUUAGUAGAAAAUGGAAGAGAGCAUCUGAUUCUCUGUUUUAUUUUUUUGUUCUUGGAUUUUGCUUGACCUCUCUCUGGUUUUUCGCUUGUUUGAUUUUGAGAGCGGUCCUCUCUCUGGUUUUUCGCUUGUUUGAUUUUGAGAGCGGUCUUUUUGAAAGGCUAAGAGAACCUUUACUUGGUUAGACUGCAGGAAAUGAUCGAUGUUAUGUGUUAAAGUCGUUGAGUUGUUUAUGGACAUUUUUUUGAAGACAUGGCAGACAAAAUAUUGAGAAGAUCAAGGUGGAAUAUUUGCAUCCUCAAUCGGACAAUUUGGUACAAGUAAAUGGGCUUUAGUAAAUAUACCUACCUUAGUUUGACCUUUGAUCUUGUUUUGGCUCCUAAACUGUUAUUGAUUCUAAACUUUUAAGUUUUAUAUUUUUUUUCGGAAGGCUUGUAAUUUUUUAAUCGUUGAUCGAUCCAGAGAGCUUUGAUCGAAUGAUUAACUGAUUGAAUUGGUUUUAGGUAAUAUGUAGUUCAAAGUCAGAAUGCAUCGAUUGCAUGGUGGAUAGGUUGAAUUCCUUUUUGACUUCUUGUUAGAUCUAUGUAUCGGUGCCGGUAUAAUUGUAGUGGCGUGUUCUUAAGUAGGAUCUCAAUGAAGGCCUGUAGUGUUUGGAAACGUCAUAGUGCAGUUGGGACCUUGUGGUAGGCAGCAUUCGAUUCGUCUUGGUUUGUGCUUAUUUAUGUUUUGAAAGUUGUGUAACAGUAUAUUUGGUGAAAUAUCUACCCAAUUUUUACUGCUCUGUUUAUUCGUCCUUAAUUUAUAUUUCUUUUUUCCACCAUUUGUUCUGAAAAUUCAUUGAUCUUUCUUACUUGAAAUAUAAGAUGAGGAUUGCUACUCGUUUACAAUUUAUUUUAAAUGGGUUAUUCUAUUUGUGCAGAUAUAAUGGUGGAGCAUAUUAAAUCCUUGUUUGUCUUAUCUACUCAGUUCUUGUCUUCAGCCUGUGGCAGAGAAGUUUGGUAGCUCGCAAGUUUCCUAACCUUGACGUCAUGGGUUCAAAUCCCUUCUCCGCAGCAUUAUUUUAUUCUUGGGUUUUUUUUUUGCUGGUUGCUCGUUACUUUUUUGCUAAGGUGGACUUGGUGAAAGUUAAAGAGCCUUUUGUGUGGCUGGACUUCUUGUUAAUUCUCUGUUUUUGUGUUUUCUUCUUCUUGGAUUCUGUUUGACCUUUCUCUUUGGUGUUUACAAACUCUUGUUAUUUUGCUUGUUUGUAGUUGAUUUUGCGAACGGACUUUUGGAAAAAAGCUAAGAGAACCUUUACCUGGUUAGACUGCAUGGGAUAUUCUUCGUUGUAAGAAUUAGGAUAUCGAGUCAUUGGCAUAUCGUAUUACCCAAAACCUGAGUUGAUAUAUCAAAGAUCCUUGAGUUUUUUAUUGUCAUUUUUUUGAAGACAUGGCAGACAAAAAAUUGAGAAGAUCAUGGUGGAAUAGUUGUAUCAUCAAUCGCAGAAUUAGGUACAGGUAAAUGGACUUUAGUAAAUACCUUAGUUUGACCUUUGAUCUUGGUUUGGCUCCUAAACUGUUUCGAUUCUAAACUUUAAGUUUUAGAUUUUUUUGAAAGCUUGGAAGUUAUGAGCUGAUCGAUCCAGAGAUUUUUGAUCGAAUGAUCAAUCGAUUGAAUUGGUUUCAGGUAAAUAUUUAGUUCAAAGUGAGAAUGCAUCGAUUGCAUGGUGGAUAGGUUGAAUUCCUUCUAGACUUUUUAUUGUCUUUGAUCAAUCGAACUUGUUGGACCUAUGCAUUCGGUGCCUGUAUUAUAGUAGUGGCGUGUUUUUAUGUAGGAUCCCAAUGAAGGGUGUUUGGGAAAUGUCAUAGUGCAGUCGGGACCUUGUGGGAGGCAGCAUUUGAUUUGUGUUGGUUCGUGUUUAUUCAUGUUUUGAAAGUUUUUUCACAGUAUAUUUGAUUUUAUUUCACCAUCUUCCCAAUUUUUAUCGCUGUGUUUAUUCUUCCUUCAUAUAUAUUUCUCCUUUCCACCAUUUGUUCUUAAAAUUCAUGGAUCUUUCUUACUUGGAAUAUUAGGUGAGGAUUACUUUUCCUUUUAGAAUUCAUUAUAAAUGGCUUAGUCUAUUUGUGCAGAUACAGUGGAGGAGCACAGUAUAUUUUGUUUGUCUAUUUUUUCUCAGUUCUUGUCUUCAGCGUGGGGUAGACUUAGUUUGGUAGCUCGCAAGGCUCCUAACUUUGAUGGCAUGGGUUCAUGUAGGAUCUCAAUGAAGGCCAGUAGUGUUCGGUAAAUGUCAUAGUGCAGUCUGGAUCUUGUGUUAGGCAGCAUUUCAAUUUGUCUUGGUUUGUUCUAAUUUGCAUUUUGAAAGUUGUGUAACAGAGUAUAUUUGGUAAUUAUUUCACUACCUGUUCUUAAAAUUCAUGUAUCUUUCUUACUUGAAAUAUUAGGUGAGGAUUAGAAUUCCUUUGCAAUUCACUAUAAAUGGGUUAUUCUAUAUGUAUGCACAGAUAUAGUGGAGGGGUGCAUUAAAUCCUUGUUUGUCUAUUAGUUCUCAGUUUUGGGUUCAAAUCCAGUCUCCGCAGCAUUUUUUUUUUAAUCCCAGGAUGUGUGAAUGAGUUUCUUUUGCUGGUUGCUUGUUACUUUUUUAAUUUUUUUUGCUUUUUGCAUUUUGCAGUCACUUGAAGAUGUACUUAGCAAAAGUAAAAGAAACUUUUUUGUGGCUGGGCUUUUUACUUGUUAUUGGACUGUACAUCCUGUGAUUAGUUGAAAACAGAAGAGUAUCUAAUUAUCUGUAUUUGUUUUUUGUUCUAUCUUCUUGGAUUUUGCUUGACCUCUAUUUUUGUUGAUUGCAGACGCUUGUUAUUUUUCUUGUUUGUAGUGGAUUUUGAGAAUGGUCUUUUGGAAGAGCUAAGAGAACCUUUACCUGGUUAGACUGCAGAAAAUGAUCAAUCUUAUAUUAAGUUUGUGUUAGGAUAUUAAGUCAUUGGCAUAUCCUAGUUUAUGGGCAUUUUUUUGAAGUGAUGGCAGACAGAGAAACUAAGAAGAUCAUGGUGGAUAUUUGCCGAUUUUUUUUCGAAAGCUUGGAAUUUAUGCUUUGAUCCAUUCAGAGAGCUUUGAUUGAAUGAUCGACCGAUGAAUUGGUUUCAGUGAACGUAUGGGAGGAUAUAUUGCAAUUCACUGAUUGAGCACCCGCAGUUGGAACAUCAAACAGUUAUUUGUCUAUGAUGUCUAUCGUGCGGACCCCAAUACAAGUGUUCUCGUUUAUAUGUGCAUUCUGUUUAUUUGUUUAUGUUAGUUUUUAUGUGUGAUAUAUUUAUUUGUGUUUUUUUUAUAUGGAUUUUGGAGAGUACGGGGAGAUCAUUCUAUCUUGCUUCCGCCUUCUUUUCCAUUGGCUAAUGUGUAAUGCAAUUAGCAGCAACUCUAUGUUGCUGAGAUUGUAUUUAGAAUUAAAAGAAAAGUGUAAAUAAAUACUAGUUUUAUUUGUUGCCC